GGUGCGAUGGGGGCUGGGGAGCCAGGGGUUAAGGUAAUGUUGGGUCCUGCUUGGUGAGAACUGGGGAGCAUGGGAGGGUUCUGAGCAAGUUUUAAUGUGAUCACUGUGGCGUUUGUGUGGAGAGCAGAUUUAGGAGGGCUGGGGAGGCGAGCAGGCCAGCGAGGAGGCUGCUGCAGGGGCCGGAUGAUAAGGUGGUGGACACAACAGGCUAGGGUGUAGGGGGUGAGGGGUCCGGGUGACACCCAGGCUUUGCUUUCAGGUCCCAUUAACCGGGACGAGGAGGACUGCGGAGAGGAAGCUCAGGGGUCCGGUGUCGGGCAUUUGGUUUAAAGGGCCAAUUGGACAUCCAGGUGUGACGUCCCUCGGGCAGCUGGAUGCAAGGUGUGGGCUAGAGAUACAAAGCCAGGAGUCAUGAGCCCGUAAACAGCUGAGACGGCCGGCCGAGGGAAGGAGGGAGGGGGAGGGGACCGCAGAGGAGGGGGCACCGCACUAUUAGGAUGUCCCCGGAGGUGAGGAGGGACCAGCAAAGGAGCCUGAGAAGGAGCCAGAGAGGGAGGAGGGAGCGAGCAACCGCGUCUGGCACCGCUGAGCGAGAGCAGACAGUCCUAAGAGUGGAGCACAGCAUCCUGAGCACAGACACCAAGCCCGGCUGCCUGGCUCGGCCAGCAUCUGCGAGCGAGGCAAGGUGGCUGGUCUGUGUGCGUACCGCGGAGGUUGACGGUGACACAGCCAAGGGCGGUUUUGGAGGAGUGGGUGGUGGCAGUCCAAGCCUGUUUGGAGAGGGUUUAAAGAGAAAGGGGGCAGAGGAACGGAGGACGACCAGGGGAGCAGAGAAACGGGGCGGUAUCUCCAGGGGAAGUAGAUUCAAGAGGGCGGUUUUUGUUUUUUUAAGCCCAGGAAGAUAACAUAUUUGUAAGCUAAGGGGAAGGGGACAAAGUGACAGAUCCCUCAGUGGACGUAGUUUCUGGGGAGGUUGAGAGGUGGUGGGAGUGGGGGAGCGAGGCGUGGGCUGGGUCAGGGUGGGAGGGCUUGAGUGGAAAUCUGGGCGGUCAGUUGUGAUAAAGUGAUGAGAAAAUCUCCCAGCAGAGGAAAGUGGAGGGCAAGAUCUUAGAGAAAAGGAGGCCAAAGAACCGAGACACUGGGCGUUGGGAGGGUUUUUCCUGGACAUGGAAAUCACCCCGUAUUAGGACAGGGACGUGCUGGAGAGUCAGUGAGCCAGGAACCAAAUCCUUCAAAGAAUGGUGUAGUCUGAUGAUACGAGAUUCAAAACUGAGGUCCUUCUCAGGGUUAGAGAAGGAGAGAGAAUGGUCCAGAAGCAUCUACUUUCCUCCAAUAUGUCUUCUUCUUCCUUAAUAAUAAAACCCCUGAUUUGUAGCUGAGCAUACGGACACCCAGAAAAAAAUACACCCCAGUUUUCCUUGCAGCCAUGUGGCCAAAUUCUGACCCUCAGGAUGUAAGUGGAGGUGUGCGUGCCGCUUCUGGGAAGUGUCCUUUACAGGAGGGGUACACCCUUCUUGGUUACUUUUUACUUCCCACCGUUUGGAAAGAGGACGUAUUGGUUGGAGCUGUAGCAGCCAUCUUGGGCCAUGAGGCAACCUUGGGAGUGUGAGCUGUGACCAUGGAGUAACCAGCUAGGAGCCUUGAUGAGAGAGAGAGAGAGAGACAGAGAGAGAGAGAGAAGAAAGCAAACCCAUCUUGUUUAAUUCACUGUGACAUGGGGAUUUUCUGUUACUUGUAGUCUAACCUGGUGCUAAUGGCUACAACUGGAAAGUUGUGUUCGUGCCACACUGGAGAUGACAUUUCAUGCCGGUGGGCACUGGUGGGCACUGGUGGGCACUGAGAAACCCUUGAAAGUUGAGCGAGCUGAGGCGAGGAUGUGUAGUGAAGGGGUCCAUCUAGAUGGGCCGAAGACAGAUCGGGGACGGCCUCUGCAGGACCGGGUCUGCGAGCGAGGUCGGUACCGAGUUUAACAAGCGAUUCAGGAACGUGAUCGUGCUUAGAGUCGGGCUGGCGUUUACACCAGAGCUGGAUUUCGACUCAGAAAUAGGAAGAGAGCAGCGGCGGGGUCAGGUCUCCCUGGAGGCGUCCGGCCCCCUUCGGAUGGACUUUUGCGGGUUCAGGGUGACGGCGCUAGGAUUCGGGUUUGAUGCAGCGGCCCUCGGGCGGGGCAUUUGGACCUGGAUGGGGGGUUUCGAGUUGUCACAAUUACUGGCGGGGUGGGUGUUGUUCCUGGCGUUUAGAGCAGGAGCUGGAGAUGCUGACUGUUUAGUGCGGGAAAGAGGCCCGGUGGUCCUGCCCCAACUGCCCCGCGCCCCUGGGAAACACGGAGGCAAAGCAGCGCGGGGAAGGCAGAAGCUGAGCGGUGUCGGGUUUGAAUCCCUGCUCUGCCGCUCUCUUCGCUGGGUGCACGCAAACCCUCGCUGUCCCCAUCCGGAGCUGGUGGGUUCAGUCCUAGAGGAUGGGGGUACUCUGAUUGGCCAGCUCGAGUCCUGCGCCCGCCUCUGGGCGGGGCUCUCUGUGAUUGAUAGCCCGGCCCUGUGGGAGGGCUAAAGAGGAAGAGAGGGGCUCUGUCCAGGUCAGCUGGCGAGGAGUCCGCGCGGGGAGCUGUCGUGAGUCAGGAAGGAUGAUGGCAGAGCAGCAGCGGUUGUAAAGUUCACGGAGAGCUUGCUGGGUGCCGGGCACGGUGCUAAGUGCUUUGUCUGUAUUAGCUCGUUUAAUACUCACAACCGUGUCAUAGAUGCUACUUUCACACGUUUUACGUACGAGGCAACUUCACAGAGAGGCGCAGUCACUUGCCCAAGGCCACACAGCCAGGACGCAGCAGAACCAGGGUCCCCCAUCCACAGGCCUCGCUCCGGAGCAGGUGCUGGCGCUCUCCGGGGCGCACCCUGCACCCUCCCCGGGGCAGUAGAACCGGGUCUCCUGCUCCAGGCUGGAGGCGGACCGGGGCGCUCCCCUUCCAGGGCACCUGUGAGCCCAGGAGGACGGAAACACCUCGGCGCAGAUGGCCAUCUGACGUUUGCCGUUACCCCUAGAGCGGAGAGCAGAACCCCAAGGAACAGAAAAGAGAAUAGGCACGUUUAGAGCAGCGGUUCUCACCCCGGCUGCGCUCUGGAAUACUUACCAGAGCUCUACAAAACCCCAGCGCUCAGGCCGCACCCCACACCAGUUAACCUGAAUCUCUAGGUGGGGCCCUGGCAUUUGUAGUCAUUAAGACUCCUCAGGUGAAUUCAACGUCCAGCCAACGUGGGGAACCACUUAGCUUAGAGGCCUCGUGGCUUAGUGGAAACAGCCGUGGGUUAAGAGCCACCUGGCUUUGAGACUUGGUACAGUCAGUGCAAGCUGUGUGACUUUGUGCCAGUCUCUUAACUUCUCGGAGCCUCAAUUUCCUCACCUGUUGACACGGCCUAAGUCUCUCUACCUUUCACAGGGGUUGUGAGGGCCGAAUGAGACGAUGUCUGUAAGGCGUCUAGCACAAAGCUGGCGCUCAGCUCCAUCCUUAGUGUUAGGGAGGGCGCAGAACAGACCAGGGCCUGGUCACAGAUAGGCUCAGGCCUGCGCAGGACCAUCCGCGGAGGCAGAGCGGCGCCAACGACUCACCAUCACUGGGACGAGGCUGUGGAAUGGGUUUUGCUGAGAUCCUCAGACCCCGGGUCCUCACCGAGGGGCUUGAGGCUUCUGAAUCAGAGGAGGCUUGGACCGGGUGG
rnacentral:lncRNA from 1 species